AACCACUGAGUUUACGAGGGUUUUACAGGCUUGUGUUCGCAGAUUCGGCAGUAAAAGAAAGUACAAAAUUCAAUAAGCGUGUUCUGAUUUCUUGGCUCGACGGUUCUUAUAGUUUCAUCUAAUUCAACAACGACUUAACGGGUCACUUCGGCAAAACUGGUAUGCUUCAAACUUCUUGAAAUAACAACGGCUAUCCGAACAUCUGAAAUCACGUCUAAACCUUAGCGACUAAAUUAAACGACUGAAUUACUCACAAAAGCCAACAAAUAUUUUACUCAACAGCAAUUAAGAUAAUUAGGACAGUUAUACAAAACAGAACAAAGGAGCUGAUCACAAGACAGGCUGUUACAUGGAAAUUGGCCAAGGUGCUAACAAAAGUCAAGCACGCAAAUGAAAUUCAAACAGCAAACAAGCAAAAGUUUCCUUAACGAAAUUCUGUCCUUUUACAUAACUCUCCCCUUCAAGGACAAGCGUCCUCGCUUGCUUCAAGUGACUCCAUUCCAAAAUUGUUUGGUACCGCUUGGCGUGCUAUGUUUCCUGACAAUCUUGUUUGCUUCCCCUGCUCUUUGGUAAUAGCUGCCUCCCCUAUUUGCAUCUCCUUUAUAAAUCGACUGUUCUGGCAUGACACAAUCUUCCUGUUCAUUGGGUGCGAUUUCAUUAUUUUCAAAUUCAAACUUUUUUUGUCCCCUAUCUUGUCUCGCAACAUUUUCCCUUUUUCUGUGCAUUAUCUCUUCUACUUGACGUAAAAUACAUUUCAAGUUUUCAAUUAGUUUGCAGAUGUGCUGGAAUUCUUCCUCAAAUUGUGCGUCGUUAUAUCGGCUAAAUUUUGUAGAAAACCAACGAGGAAAUCCAUUCGUGCGAUAAGCUUUUGGUGGAUGAAUAAACGGGCGACUGCGACAGUACUUGACAACAUGUCCAACCAUUUUACAGUAGUUGCAGACAGGACGACCGUCUGUUGCACGCAAAUAUAGCAAGUCAUUUCUACGAUUAAAAUUCGACAUAUUUCUUCUAAAAUACCAGCUUUCUUUUUUACCAAUUUCUCCCGUCACGUCGUGGUCACCAAUGUAAAAUCACUGAGUUUACGAGGGUUUUACAGGCUUGUGUUCGCAGAUUCGGCAGUAAAAGAAAGUACAAAAUUCAAUAAGCGUGUUCUGAUUUCUUGGCUCGACGGUUCUUAUAGUUUCAUCUAAUUCAACAACGACUUAACGGGUCACUUCGGCAAAACUGGUAUGCUUCAAACUUCUUGAAAUAACAACGGCUAUCCGAACAUCUGAAAUCACGUCUAAACCUUAGCGACUAAAUUAAACGACUGAAUUACUCACAAAAGCCAACAAAUAUUUUACUCAACAGCAAUUAAGAUAAUUAGGACAGUUAUACAAAACAGAACAAAGGAGCUGAUCACAAGACAGGCUGUUACAUGGAAAUUGGCCAAGGUGCUAACAAAAGUCAAGCACGCAAAUGAAAUUCAAACAGCAAACAAGCAAAAGUUUCCUUAACGAAAUUCUGUCCUUUUACAGUAGCGCAAUGGCUCAUUGGUAGCAAUGAGUCUUCAAGACUGUGUAGAACGCCAAAGAGUACAAGUUUACAUUCAGUUUUUGAAUAGCCGCAAAAAAAUGAAAGGAAUCACCACUGCAAAUCGGAAAAAAAACAGAAACAGAGAAACAUAAAGCAAUUUCUUUGUUAUGUUCCCUCGAACCAUUUAGAAAGAUGGCCACGAGUGUUUGAAACUUUUGCUACAUUGGUUCCUUAAUUUAGGUCCACGAAUUAUACAAGACUUCUGCUUUUGAUGUAAUAUUGCCAAUCGAUGAUUGGAAGUUUGCUAACGGAUUACAAAUAUCUUGGUUUAAUGUUUUAGUAGGUAAAGUGCCUGCGUUCAUAUUGCCAUAUUGCAGCCAACAUAUAACUAAUUUAACCGAUUUCACAUAUUUAGAGAUAUUUCAUGAUACUCUUUCAGGUUAUGUUAUUCAAAUUAAAAAAAUUCUCAAAAAAAUUAAUUUUUGUGACGUCAUCACUAAAACAUAUUUUUGUGACGUCAUCACUAAAACAUAUUUUGUGACGUCAUCAGUUAAGAAUUCUUUAACUUAUACUUUUCGCAGUUGAUAGUUGUGACACAUUGAAGACCAUCGUAUCCCUUAUGUGGAGUAUCGUCAUAUUUGCUGUGAUCUCUGCCCUUGUCAGCUUGGCAGCCUCGAUUCUAGGAUGCAUUGCCACGUGCUGUUCUGGGUCUCAGCCAAGCACAGUCAUUGUACAACAGCCUGUUAUGAUGCAACAACAGCCAGUCAUUAUACAAAAUACUCAAGACCUACCACCAUCAUAUGGACAGAAGUAUUAAACGCAGCGGAGGCGCGUUGUACAGCUUUCAACUAAUGUAAUCUCACUAAGUCUUAAUUAGCAUACACGGUGAUAAAGAAGCUUAAAAAACAUACACCAAUAGGUUUAACGAACUAACUUCAAAGACACUGGAUCUGAAGAUUCUGAGACCCUAUGAUGAUUUCUACUGUUGCUAGGGUAGCAGUCGGUCCUCCUAACUAUAAUUGCCCCCUUCUCUAACUCUAAUCGCCCUCGCAGAUUUCCGGAACCAAACAAGCAACCUAUUGAAACUCAUGCAUACCAAACUUUACAUAAGACUUGCACUUUUAUUUUGAACUUUUUCUUACAAAUAAAGGCUUUGCAACUAGAGGAAACCACAUUAACAGUAUCCAAACCUUUUAUUUUUAAACAGUGGUGACCGGUGUGAGCUGGCCUCGAAAUAAUCUGUUCUGUAACGAGGCAGUUUACAUUAUUUCCAGGAAAUCUACAUUCUAACCUGGCAAUCCCAUAAACCAUUGUUAUGCUUAUUUUAUUGUUUAUACAUACCAUUUGUAUGAUACUGUAAUUCUUAACACUUGUUGUUUAUUUAAUCAUGGUUUAUUUUAUUUGUUAUCUUAUAAACUACGGUGAUUGUA